ACUUGCAUUCCCACCAACAAUGUAGGAGGGAUCCCCUUUCUCCACAUCCUCUCCAGCAAUUGUUGUUUCUUGCCUUGUCAAUUUUUAUCAGGCACACAUAUCUUAAAGGCACCAUGGUCAGUAGGAGUUAAGGCAGGAGGCUUAUUUCUCAGUGCUGCAGCAGAAAGACUUUGGUCUCAUAAUGGAAUAUUUGGAUUUCCAGCUUGGCUCUGUGUGACCUUGGAGAAGCCCAUUCCACCUUCGUCUGUCCACAUCGGGAAGUCAGCAAAGGAAGCGUCAAAGUAAGGAGGCUCGAUUAAUUGUAUAUCCCUGUCAUGGAUCCAAGUACUGCAAAGAAAAUUCAAGUUUAAUUCAUCCUAAAUCAUCAUCCAGCCUGACAAGAUCUACAUUUCUUGAAAUCUGGACCCGGAAGCCUGCUCUCACCUGUGGUGGCUAAUGAGUCCAGCCAUCAUGCUGCCCUCGUUGCCCAAGUAAAUCUGAUGUUGACUCUCGGCCCAGCUGCCAUGCCAUAGAUCUGGCCGCCAUAGGCUGCUGCUUCCUAAUCUGUAUAAUGGGUAUACAGUGCUGCUGCCAUGUUAUGGAAGGAGAAACGAAUCGUGUCUCCCAAGAAUCCCUGCUUGGCAAGGGCCACAUGUCACCAUGGAUGUCCUGGAAUGUCCCAUAGCUGCAUGGCCUGAGAAAUGCAGUGCUGCUGGACUUUUCCAGGACUUCAGAGGGGAACCCCACUCCAGAGCCUUCCACAAGUCAGGGUUGCGGUGAGGAUUCAGUCAUUCACGCAAGUACUGAGCGAUGCCUGGCACCUGGAAGUCUUCAAAGUGUAUCAGCUCCUUACUCACGGGGGAAAGUUACAGCUGUAUGAAACGCUUAUUUCUCAGAGAGGCAGAGAAGCUCCUGGUGACCUCCGCGGUGACCUUCAGAUACGGACUGAACAUGAAUGAUACCUUUUCUGGCCGGCGCACCUUCCAGGUCUGAGAAAGGGCAGCCACAGGGGCCCAAACUGGCCCAGGCCUCAGGCUGGAAGGGGUAAGAUCGUGCACAGGAGCCAGGAAAGGCUUGUCACCAACGUGGAUAGUGACUGAAACCAAUCACCCGCCCAGCAGGAGCUGCCAGGGGCUGCGGCUCCAAACAGUAGGCCUCUGGGAGACAAGCAAGGACCCCUUUGCUCGCGCUGCUCACUUCACACGCAGUUAGACAUCCUACAAUGCAUCCCACAGCACUCCAUGCAGAAGUGUGGGCACCUCCCAACCCCCAGCCACAGCCACCCUGCCCCAGGGCAUGAUUCAGUGUCUGGGCUUAUUUAUGAGAGACCAUGAGUUCAUUUCAAAAUGUCAAAUGAUCCUUGGUGACUAAUGGCCCCCUCUGUGCUCCGUAUCUUCGCAGAGGUCGUCCUCCCGCGCUCCGAGGGCCUCUGUGCUUCGGGAACACCCAUCUGGGUGCGUGAUGCAAGGAGCUACUAUGUCAUUGAAUCACCCAAAAAAGCCGGGGAGCCCAGACCCUGCUGGGGUGAGCACUGGGGUGUCUCAGCAACAAGGCACACCCCAAAGAAUGAGGGAGGCGAUGGCUGGAGAAUGGGAGCAUAUGCAUUCAACCGUCGAGAAGAAAAUAAACGGUGCAUGGGACAAGUGGGCCUCAUGCGAUGUGUUCAGAAAACAAUUUUAUUAUUUUACCAUUUUUGCCCAUA